UUUUCUUUUUUUUUAAUGUGAAGUAGUGGGAAAAAAACAGGCAGUGAAAAAAGUCAAGCAGCCGUACUACAUGUGCUGCACAUAAAAGUUUUGCAGUAAACAGUCACAGUAGCAAGUAACCUAAACAUAUGGGUAUUAGGAAUUUUUUAUACUGAACUUGAAGAUAUCCUGUGUUUCUGGUGGUCAUCUGGUGAAUGCCAAAAGAAAAAACGAACCUCAGCCUUCCUUCAUCCUUAUUCAAGCUUCUUCUCAUUUUGUCUCAUCUCUUCUCUGUGAUACCCCUCCAUGUGAAUCCAGAUCUGGAUGAAUCCUCUUAAGCUUGCAGUAGGACAGACCUUGUGUGCCCAGCAAACUUGCUGAGACUUUGAAGUACUUAAGGCUGCAUAAAUACAGUACUCUGGCUGUGACAGAUGGGUCACCAUGAUGCCACGUUACAAAAUGGAAUUUUAGUGUUUUGGCGAAUGGAAAUUUUGUCGGUUACAGAGCCCUAAAAGUUUUUUGCCUUUGGGUUGUGUGCAAAUACAAAUAGGUAUGCAAACUGAGUACUCCUCAUUUUUAUACCUUACCUGCAUAUAUGUGUGUGUGUCCCAGGCUUGCUGAAGUGCAGAAGGAGAAGCAAUUGUCCAGGAAAAAUCACCAUAUCCCUUCUGCCAGUCUUGGAAAGCCAGGACCACCCUUUUUCCCAGGGAUGGAAAGGUCUUCCUAGAAGCAGUAUUGGGUAUCUCUGGUCCCCUGAGGAAGCAGAGAGGGCAGGCCUGGCUCUCCUGGAGCCUUUCUGAAGCCAUCUUUCCAUUGCAGCUCCAACCCUUCUCCAGUUUCCAUGACGAGUGGCCCCCUACCAGGCUUUUCAUCCUCCAAAGUAACAGAAUUAAAUUUGCCAAGAGCACUGAGAAACCUUUGCCUGGUACAUGUAGUGCAGCACAUGUAUCUAUCUCUUUCUCUAUAAACAAUAUUAUAUUCAUGCACAUAGUCAAGAGGAAGUCCCUAAAAAUGAGGAACUGAUGACUGAACCCAGAAUAAAUGCGGGAACUGAAGCUUAAAUCCUUUGUUAAACGUGCUGUAAAAGGGCCCUGCUGUAUGGGAGGUACUGCUUGUGCAAAGGCUGCCUUUACUCAUGAAUUUAGCAGUGGCAUAGCCUCCGAGGAGAAAAAUUAUCUCAUUAACUCUUGGCGAGGAGAUGGUGUGCAGCCAGAAUGCUCCACAUGUGCACAGCAUGGUCUUCAUCACACAAUACAAUUUGUAAUUGCUGAUUACUUUUUGGCUGAUGUUGAAAGCCUGCCUGUCAAUCCCCACCUGGAGUGCAAAACAGUUUGUUCCCUCAAUGCUGGAACUCCAUUUCCUGGAGGAACUGAAGCGUAUGAAUCUGCUGAUCUCUGAUACACUGGUGUCCUUGCCAAACCAGAACCACUGUGGAGCAGCUGUGUGACAACCUGAGACAGAGGCUCUGAGGAAAAUGUGUUUUAGGAGUGGACUGUGCAGCUUUCCCAGCGGGAGUGUUGGUGGGGCUUCCCGUUGUGCUUCCUCUGUGGAUUGGGAACGUGGCACAAGGAGGAAGGCUGACAAGGCACCGUUUGAGGGCUGCAGCAGGAGGGGGACCAAGGGCAACUCUUCCUUCUUCUUCCACAUCAGACUGCUGUGCGGGCCAAGAGCACCUUAGAGGGGUACAAGAAGGUGUGAUCACGUUUGAGGACACCAGUCACAACUCUUGCUAGGGACCGGACCUUGGUGUGAGGGUGUAAGAAGCCACAGGUACUGAACUGGAGUGUAUGCAUGCUGCAGUAAACCUGCUUCCUGCAUAGGGAAAUUCUCUCUUGGACAAUCCUGAUGGGGAAAAAAUUUGUGGUGUUUGCCAAACUCGGAAUGAAUAUCAAAAGGAUUCUGGAUGAGAGUCUGAAAUGAGAACAUGGGCUGUUGAAAUGCAUGAUGAGGAAAAACCUGGGAGAAGAGUGUGAAAGAGGACGAUUCCUGGCCUGAACAAAAGUUGGAGGUUUACACCAAUGCAGCACUCAUCUCGAUUUUUUUUACUGGCGUGGAAAAGCUGAAGCCAUAAAAACUUGUGUGACUACAGGACAUCAGGAUAAAACAGCAGCAGGAAGGGCAGUUACAACCUACUUCAUAGGAAGACCUCAGGCUAUACACUCAUCUCUUUCUGGAGGCUCAGAUUGCUCCGUCCUGGCUGAGGUGUGUGGCUGCAUGGAGCUGCCUGAAAGGGCGGGCGCAGCAAGAGCUGGAGAAGAAUCGUCACAACAGAACCGCUGACUGACUUCGCCUCGUCUCUUCAGAAACGCUGAGAGAAAGUGACCCAUACAGCGUCACGGCACAACCAGCUGCAGAGGCUUGUGCCACCUGUGGGAAGGGAACAUUCCUGGUAGUGUCAACAGGCUCAGUCUUACAAGAUGCAAAUAAUUAUUAUCUUCUCCAGGCUGCUCAGUCUUCAGCUGAACCAGGAGUUUCUUGCAGGACUUGGAGCCCUUUAGGGCUUGCUCCUGAGCUAAACGCAAACUUGUACAGCAUUGUCAGAUGCCAGUUUACAUCAGGGUCUUUGUGAAAAAACAGCAGUUCAGGACAGAGUUGCUCCAGUUGCACCAUCUGCUGUAGUGAGAUGAACCUCCAUGUAAGAGAUUCUUGGGCCCUUCCUACAUACCACCUCUGCGCCUUUUUCAUUGUCCCUCAUGGCAAACACAUAAAAUCCUCUGUGUUCUGAAAAAUCUUGUCUAAUAGAGGAGCUGUCCGUUCCUAAAGCACCUUGCAGCUGCCUUAGCUGUGUGAACUAGGAACACCCAUCGUUUAACAAAUUUUGGCUCCUGCAGACUCAUGGUAAUCUACAGAAGCACUGGCUCCUCACAAAAUGGCGGCAGAAGUUUGGGUAUGGAUUUAUGCAGAUCAUUAGCUGUCCAGAUUUAGCCUGAGUAGGAGAAAUUCAACAAAUACAAAGCUUGACUAGAAGGACUGGAGCAUAAAUCAGAGAUGAUAUACAGAAUGGCCAGCUGACUUUAAGAAACGCUUCCCGUAAGUCAGUACUGCUCACCUGUGCUACUGCUGUAGAUUCAGAAGCCUGAACUAUUUAAUACAGUCAGUGUUUUUGACCAUGGCUUAGAAAUUAUUCGAAGCCUGCAGCUUAGAAAUUAUUCGAAGCCUGCAGCAAAACUUUGUAAGAGUCUGCUCUUAUCACUGAGCUGGAAAGAAUUAAUACAGGUUCAUAGAUCAGAAAUUCAGCUGUGUAGUUAAAAAUAAUUUGGAUGCUUCCUGAAAGCACACUUUUAAAUAAGGAGUAGGAAUGGAAGAGGUCAGAGAAACUCUAUGUUGAAUGUACUGAAUUAUUUUUUAAGAAAUGAGUGAUUUGGGGUGUACUUUAAAAUAAUUUACACAGAGCUAAUUCAUUAAAAAGUGUGAUGAAGGAUUCUGUUCUCCAUCCAUAUUCUCCUCGGGGUUCCAGUAGGCCCCCCUUAAAAUCAAUAGUGUUGAGUUGCUUUUGGUUUUUAAUUAGCUAGAAAAUAAAUCUUCCAUAUUUCCUCUUGAUUUCUCUGUGGCAGAGGCCUUGCUUACCUAGAGCUUUCUCUCAUUCCCUGAUCCUUGGAAUAAGUGCCACAGUGGUUCAGGUCAGCAGCCCAGGCUCCCCAUGCUGGCUGGAAAAGAUGCCAAACUCGACUGUUCUGUGAGGUGCCACGAGGCAGCUCUGGUCUGUGGACCGGCACUCGGUUAUGGUUGGCAAG